AUCGAACGCUGGCGGCAGGCCUAAUACAUGCAAGUAGAACGCAGUUGCGAACGGGUGAGUAACGCGUAGGUAACUUCUUGGUAGUGGGUGUUAACUAUUGUUAACGAUAGCUAAUACCGCAUACUACCAGAUGGACCUGCGUUGUAUUAGCUAGUGGGUGGGGUAACGGCUCACCAAGGCAACGAUACAUAGCCGACCUGAGAGGGUGACCGGCCACACUGGGACUGAGACACGGCCCAGACGCCGACGGGAGGCAGCAGUAGGGAAUCUUCGGCAAUGGACGGAAGUCUGACCGAGCAACGCCGCGUGAGUGAAGAAGGUUUUCGGAUCGUAAAGCUGUGUUGUAAGAGAAGCGGUAUAUUACCAGAAAGGGACGGCUAACUACGUGCCAGCAGCCGCGGUAAUAC
rnacentral:rRNA from 1 species